rnacentral:rRNA from 1 species
AUUGAACGCUGGCGGCAGGCCUAACACAUGCAAGUCGAGCGAGCGGCGGACGGGUGAGUAAUGUCUGGGAAACUGCCUGAUGGAGGGGGAUAACUACUGGAAACGGUAGCUAAUACCGCAUACCAUCAGAUUUGCCCAGAUGGGAUUAGCUGGUAGGUGGGGUAACGGCCAACCUAGGCGACGAGCCCUGGCGGGUCUGCGAGGAUGACCAGCCACACUGGAAUUGAGACAGGGGCCAGACUCCUACGGGAGGCAGCAGUGGGAAAUAUUGCACAAUGGGCGCAAGCCUGAUGCAGCCAGGCCGAGUGUGUGAAGAAGGCUUUCGGGUUGUAAAGCACUUUCAGCGGGGAGGCGUUACCCGCAGAAGAAGCACCGGCUAACUACGUGCCAGCAGCCGCGGUAAUA